rnacentral:lncRNA from 1 species
ACAUCUUUAUCUCAGCGACGGGAAAGCCAGCGCUCCAUCCCUCUGCACCCGAGGCACAGAAUUAAUGUGGUGACAAUGAGACACCCAGAGAAUCUAGGCAGGCGUCACAAAAGACACUCAAACUGUAGGCAGACGUCACAAAAGACACUCAAGCUAGCCUUGUGGGAAGAUAUUGCUGUUCACCCAGUUCCCACAAAACCAUCGUUGGGACAAAGUCCCAGGACCACCCCCACCCCCACUCCCCGCCGCCGCUGCCCUGCUCCGUCCAUGCUCAUGCCCAACAGCUGAAGAAUGCUGAACCACUCACCAGAGAUAAGGGCAUGUCUAAGAAGACCGUGCCCUGGUCAAGAGACUACCCUUGCUGCUUUGUCCAAGAGACAGGUCCGCCUCAGUCUGAAGCCAGCAGCGUGGCAGACACCUGGGGAACAGUACCCACUUACAUUAAGAAGCCUCUUAAACGUUCUCUGGACCUAUUUUCUGGCUGUAGAAUGAAGAGGCUAGAUUAUAUGAUCUCCAAGUUGUCGUCGUCGUCGUUUUUGCUCCGUUGUGUGGGGCUAUGGAACUCAGAUGGUGCCCACCCAGUUCUCCUCCCGAGCCCACCUGCUGGUGGUGCCAUCCGUGGGAAUGAGUGCCACUGUGGAGACCCCUGUUUUAGAAGCUCCAUAUUUCCCAAGCUUGUUCACAGGCUGGGCUGUGAUUCUCCAGGAGAGCUUUCCACUCCGUUCAUUCCUCAGAGAUCCGAGUCUCUCCAGAGAGAUUGGUGGCAGGGUGGGGGUGGGGCAAUGACACCAGGAUGUGCCUUUCUGAACACUCUUCCCAAGGUCUACAGAUGAGCAAGGGAGGGUCAGAAGGUGCCCUGGGGACUCACCUGCUUAUUGGAUCCUGGAACUCCUUGCCAGGCCCCCAACUGUGUCUUUUGAAGGAGUCAGUAGUGUAACUGCGGGCACGGAAAGCCCCGGACCUUCUAAGGAGUGAUGUGUGGAAGCCAUCCUUGUUGUCGCUGUUCUCUGGAUUCCACAGCAGCUGGGCAGCACUGAGGGAGACCAUGAGGCACUGGGUCUUCACCUAUGAAGGGCUCCCCUGGGACCGAUCUGUUCAUGGAAGGUACUCGGAGACAGCCCUGAAUCAAGAAGAAAGAGUGCUGGGAUUAAAGGCGUGCGCCACCACUGCCAGCCAAGUGUUCUGUUUUCAUGCUUGCUAGAAGAGGGAAUCAGAUUCCAUUCCAAAUGGCUGUGAACCAUCAUGUGGUUGCUGGGAAUUGAACUCACGACCUCUAGGAGAGCUGCCAGUGCUCUUAACCGAUGAACCAUCUCUCCAGCCUGAGGCCCCUGUCUUUUAAAGAAAUAAAGAAGCUGGGUGUGGGUGGCACACACUUUUAAUCCCAGCACUCUAAAAACAGGCAGUCUGAUCUUCGUGAGUUUGAGACUAGCCUGGUCUACGUAGCAAGUUCCGGGCUAGCCAGAACUACAGAAAGAAAGAAAAGAUCCUGGAGUGGGGACAUCUCCACAGCCAGGCUGCUAAGCAUCUCCUACCCCUCCCUUUGCUGAGACAGAGGCAGAGGCAAAGAAUGCCUGCCUCAGGAUCAUGAGGUCCGCUGCAUGCAAGGUCAAGUCUAGAACUUGGCUUUUCUAGCUCUUAAUACACUGUUCUUUCCAGUGAAGAGAGCCUGGCUGGCAGAGGCGGCACAUGUCUGCAGUCUCAGCACUUAGGAGGCAGACGGGAAAAUCCAGAGUUCAAGGCCACUGUGCGCACUAAAGCAAGGGAACGUUCUGUCUUCCCAGUCAGCCUGCCUUGACUGACUGCCUGGUGUUCUGCAUCUCUCUGACUUUUCUGCCAAUGCUGGAGAAGAGGACAGUAGAAUUCCCAAAAUGCAAAAAGAAGAGGCUGGAGGGCUAGAAGAUGGCUCAGCGGUUAAGAACACUGACUGCUCUUCCAAAGGUCCUGAGUUCAAAUCCCAGCAACCACAUGGUGGCUCACAACCAUCUGUAACAAGAUCUGACACCCUCUUCUGGAGUGUCUAAAGACAGCUACAAGUGUACUUACAUAUAAUAAAUAAAUAAAUCUUGGGCUGACCAAGGCUCAGCUGAAGGACUAAGAAGCGCCCUGACUAUGUUAAAGCCCCACCCA